rnacentral:RNase_MRP_RNA from 16 species
AACUCUUCGCUCAAAGAAUCGCAUUCAAAGCUUACGCACAGGAGAGGGAAGAGAAUAGCCCUUCACGGAAUUAUUUUAUUCUCUCUUCAUACCGCAACUACUAGCUUUGGGAGAAAGUCCCCGGACACCCUGCACCCCCGUCUUAAAACCGCGAGGGUUCCUCACAACAAGCCAGGCACUGCGGAAACGCGCCGCCAUAGAAGCAUUUCUCAUUGCGGCUUACGCCUUUUUCCCUUCCCUUCUCUUUUCUCACUCUUCUUUUAGAAGGGAUGAGGAAAGAAAGAAGGGCUCGUCGCUGUUCCUACCCGACUCUGGAAGUUUUUAUUCUGCAGAGAAAACAAUGGUGGUUUGGACGGGAUGGGGCCAUUUUGGCGAGGGAUAGGUUGCCAUUCGUCGUGUUUCGAUAGUCAUGCGAUUGCUUGGUUUCGCAUGUGUAUAUUAUAUGUGUGAAAUCAAGUAACUCGAUGGGGCUUAUUCAUGAGGCGAGGAGU